GUGCACCAGGCGAGAAACUUCACAAUGUGCGAAAGCACGAUGAGGGAAUCCCAAGUGCUUGCACGUAAGUGUAAGCUGUUUCUCUGUCUAAAACGCAGAGAGAGUAAGGGCUGGGUAAGACGGGUGCCAGCCGCCGCGGUAAUACCUGCAGCUCGAGUGGUGACCGUUAUUAUUGGGCCUAAAACGUCCGUAGCCGGUUUAAUAAAUGCCUGGGUAAAUCGGACCGCUUAACGGUUCGAAUUCCGGGUAGACUGUUAAACUUGAGACCGGGAGAAGUUAGAGGUACUCCUGGGGUAGAGGCGAAAUUCUGUAAUCCUAGGGGGACCACCAGUGGCGAAGGCGUCUAACUAGAACGGGUCUGACGGUGAGGGACGAAGCCCUGGGGCGCAAAACGGGGAUUAGAUACCUCGG
rnacentral:rRNA from 1 species